GUGAGAAACCGCCAUUUUCUUUGCGCUGUCUUUGAGGGGAAGCGAGUGAAAUUCUGUGUGAGACGUAAGUUAUUUAGUGUGUAUUUAACAAUUUUCAUAAGAAAUAACACACUUAGUUUACUUAGUAUAAUAUACACGCGCUUUUUUUUCUGUUUCUCCGCCUGAUGGCCAACUUGUUGCUCCGCCUCACGCUGACCUGUGCUCGCCUUAUGGCUGAACUGUUGCUCCGAGUCCGCCUGACGAGCCACCUGUUUCUCCGGAUCUGUUUCUCCGCCUAACGGCGACCUGUUUCUCCGAACCUGUUUCUCCGGACCUGUUUCUCCGCCUAACGGCGACCUGUUUCUCCGGACCUGUUUCUCCGCCUAACGCCCGAGCUGUUGCUCCGCCUAACGCCUGACCUGUGCUCGCCUCACGCCCAGCCUGUUGAUCGGUGGACGGGUAAGCGCGCAUGGCAUCGGAAGGAGCUCGAAAAGUAUAAGGUGAUGACAGUAAGUAACGUUACUGUGAUUUGUGAUCUUUCUGGGGUGUUAACUGUAAAGCAAUGGAUAAUUGCGUGAAAAUCAAACUAAAAGAAUGCAAUCUUGAGGAGUUAAUCCCCACAUUUGAAGCACAGGAGCGAACCUUUCCUCGUUUUUAGGUCAAUUUGAAUACAAUUCAGAGGGGUGGCAUGGGGGCGCAGUGGGUAGUGCUGUCGCCUCACAGCAAGAUGGUCGCUGGUUUGAGCCUUGGAUGGGUUUCCCCUCCACAGUCCAAUGACAUGCGGUGUAGCUGAAUUGGAUUGGGACCAAUAUUGCUGAGUAUCUUCAUCCAUUGAAUUCAAGAAUCUAUUGAGUUUCCUCAUGUUCUCAUCCUUGGAGACCACCACUUCUUUCAAGCCUUUGCUCACGUGCUGUGCUAUUUAUUAUUGCAAAGUACAUUACUUGCCAAAGUGGACGUUUGCUAUAAAGCAUUCUACAUCUUUGGUGUGAACUACCCCAAGCAGUGUUCCCUGGUGUGGCAGACUGUGGUUUAUGGACAUCCUGGGGAGGAGACACUAGCAGUAAGGGUUCUGCUA
rnacentral:lncRNA from 1 species